GACGAACCGUCCAAACGUUAUUCGGAAUCACUGGGCUUAAAGGGUGGGUAGGCGGAGAGGCAAGUCAGAGGUGAAAGCCCACGGCUCAACCGUGGAAGUGCCCCUGAAACGGCCUCUCUCGAGGGAGAUAGGGGCGUGCGGAACUCAGAGGGGAGCGGUGAAAUGCGUAGAUAUUCUGAGGAACACCGGUGGCGAAAGCGGCACGCUGGGUCUUUUCUGACUCUGAGGCACGAAAGCUAGGGGAGCAAACGGG
rnacentral:rRNA from 1 species